rnacentral:rRNA from 1 species
ACGGGAGGCAGCAGUGGGGAAUAUUGGACAAUGGGGGAAACCCUGAUCAGCGACGCCGCGUGAGUGAAGAAGUAUUUCGGUAUGUAAAGCUCUAUCAGCAGGGAAGAUAAUGACGGUACCUGACUAAGAAGCCCCGGCUAACUACGUGCCAGCAGCCGCGGUAAUACGUAGGGGGCAAGCGUUAUCAGGAUUUACUGGGUGUAAAGGGAGCGUAGACGGAAGGCCAAGUCUGAUGUGAAAACCCAGGGCUCAACCCUGGGACUGCAUUGGAAACUGGUCAUCUAGAGUGCAGGAGGGGUAAGCGGAAUUCCUAGUGUAGCGGUGAAAUGCGUAGAUAUUAGGAGGAACACCGGUGGCGAAGGCGGCUUACUGGACUGUAACUGACGUUGAGGCUCGAAAGCGUGGGGAGCAAACAGGAUUAGAUACCCUGGUA